rnacentral:lncRNA from 1 species
GUAGGUCCCCAGUCCUUGUCCCUUUGGAGGAAAAACUCAGCAAAGAGACAGAGUAGUGAGGCAAAUAAAGUGUUUACUAAGAAUGAAGACAGGGGCGCCCGUUGUCGCUCAGCGGGUUAAGAACCCGACUAGUAUCCACGAAGAGGCAGGUUCAAUCCCUGGCCUCGCUCAGUGGGUCGAGGAUCCAGCCCACAAAGUGCACCUCGGCGCAGAUGCAGCUCAGUUCUGGCAUUGCUGUGGCUGGGGUGUAGACAGGCAGCCGUAGCUCUUACUCUCCUCCUAACCUGGAACGUCCAUGUGCGGUUGUGGCCCUAAAAAGACAUAAAAAAAAAAAAAAAAAAAAGAGGAGGCAGCCCAGGUGGGUUGGGGGUGCGGGGGAGGGAGACAGAGAAGGAGGUAGUUUGAAUCCCUUGCAAGGGGGCGAUCCUUCUGGGCGUCCUCUGGCCAAUCGUCUUGGUUUGUCUGGCUUUGGGCCCAUAUCUGGCCUGGCUCAGGGCCCUCGCCCGUGCGCCAGCAUCUUUUAGCGGAGGUGGAUUCUUAGCACAGAGGUUUCUGGGACAAGAUGCACUGUGGUCGGGUGGCCACUCCACCCUCUGAACCCAGAGAAACCUUUCUGCGCAUGUGUCCUUCCAGGGGGCUCCUCGACCUCCAGGAUGAGCAACGGGGUCUCCACCUUUUACCCGAGCAGGAUGCAGCUCCUCCUGGCUCGUGCUGUCCUCUUUACCUUGAAGUGUCUGUGCACAGGGAGCCGAUUCCAGUUGCUCAGCCUGGGGCCCGUCUACCUCCUGCCUCGCCUUCGUAGGCGCCGUCACACGGCCGGGGAGAGCAGCGAGCUCUGGCACCUGCUGCCCUUGGGUGCCCGGAUCGCAGACACGGAACAGCGUGUGUAUUGGAGAACCCAGGGCAGCUCCGCCACCCAGAUUGACCACCAGCACGGACGCAGGAGGGUGACCCCUGUCCUGAGAAAUACAGUUUGAAACUCAGGACAACGCCUCUGCAUCUCUUGCCCUUUGUCCCUUAAAGAGCGUCUGAAGCCGUGAGGGUUUGUGGUCUGUGCCACCACCUUCGCAGGACACACAGUGCCCUGGAGUGGGGGAGGAGGCCCUCAGGUGAGGAGGGCAUGAAUGAACUUGUCAUAUCCUUCUUCUCACAGUGUGAAUGCUGUAACUUUUUUUUUUUUGCAACCAAACAAACUCUCUAUUAAAGGAAAGCAAAGAGCUCCCAGGGCUGCUGGGAGUGGGGAGAAGAGCCCCUGUAAUUUUUUUUUCUUUCUUUUUUCUUUUUAGGGCCACACUCGCAGCAUAAGGAGGUUCCAAGGCUAGGGGUCUAAUCGGAACUAUAGCCACCAGCCUACACUACAGCCACAGCAACGCCAGAUCUGAGCCACAUCAGCAACCUACACCACAGCUCAAGGCAACGCCACAUCCUUAACCCACCAAGCGAGGCCAGGGAUCGAACCUGUGUCCUCAUGGAUGCUAGUCAGAUUCAUUAACUGCUAAGCCAUGGUGGGGAACUCUGAGCCCCUGUAAUUUAAAAAAAAUUUUUUUUUUAAUUUUCAAAGUUGUAUAGUCAUUUCAAUUUUUUUUUUCCCCGCUGCACAGCAUGGGGAUCAAGUUAUUCUUACAUGUAUACAUUUUUUCCCCACCCUUUGUUCCGUUGCAACAUGAGUAUCUAGACAUAGUUCUCAAUGCUACUCAGCAGGAUCUCCUUGUAAAUCUAUUCCAAGUUGUAUCUGAUAAGCCCAAGCUCCCGAUCCCUCCUACUCCCUCCCUCUCCUGUCCGUCAGCCACAAGUCUAUUCUCCAAGUCCAUGAUUUUCUUUUCUGUGGAGAUGUUCAUUUGUGCUGGAUAUUAGAUUCUAGUUAUAAGUGAUCUCAUAUGGUAUUUGUCUUUGUCUUUCUGGCUCAUUUCACUCAGUAUGAGAGUCUCUAGUUCCAUCCAUGUUGCUGCAAAUGGCAUUAUGUCAUUCUUUUUUAUGGCUGAGUAGUAUUCCAUUGUGUACAUAUACCACAUCUUCCGAAUCCAAUCAUCUGUUGAUGGACAUUUGGGUUGUUUAAUUUUUUUUAAUUAAAAAAAAAUUUUUUUUUGUCUCUUUAGGGACACACCUGAGGCAUAGGCAAGCUCCCAGGCUAGGGGUGGAAUCAGAAUUGUAGCUGCUGGCCUACAACACAUCCGCAGCAACACAAGAUCCAAGCCGCGUCUGUGACCUACAUCACAGCUCACGGCAAUGCCAGAUCUUUAACCCACUGAGGGAAGCCGGGGAUCAAACCUGCAUCCUCAUGGAUACUAGCCAGGUUCAUUACUGCUGAGCCACAGCGGGAACUCCAGAUUUUUAUAUAAUCAAGUACCAUUUACCAAUACUACCAAGCAUCUGUCUUCUUGCUUCUCUUUGUGUUCACAGCUUGUUUUCACCAUGGAGUUGGCGCAGGAUUCACUGCAGUUGCAGGGAAUAGAAAAGGAACAUUUUUUGCAACAAUUCUCAGCACCCUUAAAAUUGUAUGUGUUAGUCUAGAUGUGAGCUUAAGAAGCAUGGUGCACAAUCUUUAUGUUGAUAGCUAGAUGGCCUCUGAAUGCUGGAAUUGCAAAUCGUUUUACUUUUAUCAGAAUGUUUAAAAAGAUGUAAUGAAAUUUUUCAAAAAUUAACACUAAGAUUCAGCAUCACUGAGAUAAUUUCGAAGUUCACCGAGAGUGAGGUCUAAGCCAUAAUGGUGGCAGAUGUGGUUGAUAAACAGAAAGUUUUACCUACAGAGCAUUGGCCAAAAGUCCAAAAAUACUUGUACAUCUGGCCUAUACAGCACACAUUUGAAUUUUUUAUUAGGAAAUAUGUUAUCAGCUGUUUCAACAGUAAUUCAGGGAUUGUAUACUCUAUUUUCUGGAUCUUACCAAAGAUGAAAUAGUUUGAUAAAACAAAGCAAUGACCUUAAAAUCAUUCUUGGAUUUGUGUGACAGGAAUGCUGUUUGGAUCUGUUAAAGCAAUUAGAUUGAUUUUAGCGAAAACACAAGGUGCACUACAAGAGUUAACUGAAACAAUAGAAAAAAAAUCUCAAAACAAAAUGUGAAUCAUGAUUUCAGUGAAAAAUUAAUUUUGAAUUCAUGGUAACCAUUGUUAUUUAAUACUAACUGUUGCUUAUGAUUAAUAAUAUUACUAACAUUUAACAAAAACUUUCAAAACUAUCUCAGUUUGGCUACUUCACUUGUAAAGGAAUGAAAAAAUAGUUCUUAAAAUGUCAGAGCCAGUGGGUUUUCUAAAUCAAAGUAAACUGCAAGAAAUUUGUUGAAAAUAUUCCAGUAAAAUAUAACAACACUAUAGCAAGGAAAUUUAGGUACUUACCUGUCAAACAGGUCAUUCAUGUAUAAAUAAUUACCAAUUAUUUCUAAUUUUAAUUAAGACUAUGUUUCUAGCCAUUAUAGAUCAUAAUACAGUCUUAACUGAAGAGAGAUUUGAAUAAGUUAGAUCAUGACCCACUAAUUUUUGUGUCUUUUAUAACCCAAUGUUGACACAUUUGAAAUAAGAAUCUAAUAACGUAUCUAGAUAUUACCCGAAAAGAUAUUCCUUUAACAUAUUUAUUUAUUUUUUUUUUUUUUUUGUUUUUGUUUUUGUUUGUCUUUUUGCCAUUUCUUGGGCCGCUCCCACGGCAUAUGGAGGUUCCCAGGCUAGGGGUCUAAUCAGAGCUGUAGCUGCCAGCCACAGCUACGCCAGAUCCAAGCCACGUCUGCGACCUACACCACAGCUCAUGGCAACGCCGGAUCCUUAACCCACUGAGCAAGGCCAGGGACCAAACCCGCAACCUCAUGGUUCCUGGUAGGAUUCGUUAGCCACUGAGCCACGAUGGGAACUCCCAGUUUUUUAAUAUAUGUAAAAUUUGUAUAUAAAGUUCAUUUCCUAAUUUAAGUGUUGGUUUAAUGAUUGGUUGACAAUUCCAAUUACUCCUGCCUUAGCAGAAUGAAAUUUCUCCAAUUGAAUAAUAACCAACCAACAGACUGCAAUGACUUCAGAAAUAUUGGCUAUUUUGUCAUUAUUGUCAAUAGAACACUUAUGAAAAUCUUAGUCAUAUCAGCAUAAUUGGUGAUUUUGCUAAAAUGAAGAUGUCAAAUUAAUUUAUAUAAUAAAUAUAUUGUAAUUAAUUAUGUAUAUGUUACUCAUGCAAGCAUCUCCAGCUCAUCGAUAGGUCACCCACACAUGCACCAUAAUGAUAGUUUGCUACCAGUCACAUAAAAAACAUAGUUUUACGCACAUUUUCUCACUUGUCCUCAUGAAUAUUUAUUUGCCAAGGUAAGAAGAUAGAACAUAUUUUGCUUAAGAGUUUCCAGCUUUUGUGAUAACCGCUAAAUGUUUAGGCAUAUGACUGAUAGGCCUCCAGUGGCCUCUUGCCUUGGGCCACACAAAGGUUGCCCUGGACCUUUGCCUGGAGGGAGAUGGUGUCUGGCCUUGGGCCCACCUUCCCCUGCAGAGCUGUCCUAGCGGAUGCAACUGGAGAGGCCUUUAGGUUCAGCUGAGCAGCUGCGUGGGAUUGCACACACCGUCCCCUUUCUCAUUCUCAGCAGGGAACCCGUGUUCUUUAAGGAGACAGUCAGACAGUCUUUAACCGGAGGGCCAGCCCCUACAGUAUCAUUUAAAAGUGGAGAUGCAGGAAAGGCGAUGCCUUCCUGUGAUUGGCUUUUCGUUGGUGGUGCCUUCUGGUUCGGCCAUCGCUUGGCUGAAUCAGUCAUUAAUGAAGAUGGCAAAGUUGUUUCGUGAUGGGGCAGCUCUCAUCCCAUUGGUACUGUUUAGAGAGGAGAGGAAAGAUGAGUUGAGGAAUUGAGAGAAGUCUUCAAAUAUGUGAAGGAUUUUCUGGGGAGAUUAGAUUUCAUCUGCACGCGGUGAUGCAUGGAUGGUCCUUCAAGCUCUGCUCAGGAUGCUCAGUGGAGGGUGAUGGGGGCUGAAGCCCAGCUCUUGCUCUGCUCCCCGAGCCAUACGCCCUGAUGCCAGGCUGGGUCAGCCGAAGGGGGCACCUCCUCCUCCUCCUCACACAGGUGCUUGGUGGGCCAGCUGGCUCCUACCUGCGAGUCUCCAGACGACAGAAUUCGGCCCAAACAGUGAAGGUUAUACGACUUGUGCUUAGUGUAAGGAAAAGGUUUAUAAAUUUGACCUUGUUAAUCCUUCUAACAAUCCUGAAAAGUGGGUGCAAUUAUUGCCCUCGCUUUCCAGAAAUGAAAACUGAGGUUGAGAAGUUAAGCAUUUGCCCAGCAUUUGAAAAUGGCAAACAAAGGAUGCAAAAGCCAGGCUUUUCUCAUUAAAAAACACGUACACUCUGAUGUGCUAACAGUUUAAACCAUUCUGAGAUGAAACGUGCUGUUUCCAAAGCUAGCAAUUUCCAUAUUUCUGUAUGUGUCUGAGAACAAAUUAAAUGACAGUUCAUCAGAUGUGUCAUAAAGGGGACUCAUAUGCCCACAAAUGGUCGAAUCGUGUGAUGCCAAUACAGACCAGGUUCAGUCGGGAAAACAGAAGCCAGGCUAUGUAUUUCCAGUGCAGAAGGUUCAAUGUAUGGAUUCAGGGGCAUAACCAACCAGUGGAAGAGAGAGGGAGCCAAGAUCAGAGAAGCCACCUGUGAUGAUCUCAGGCUGCCAUAUUUGUUGAAGUGCAAAUUUUGAGAACCUCUGGAAAGUUCCACCUCUUAGUCUAUAGCAGCAAUUGUGGUGAUUCCUUAGAUCUCAGAUCUACUCACGCUUUGAACUAGAUGCUGGGAGUUCCCAUCAUGGCUCAGCAAUAACAAACCCAACUGCUACCCAUAAGGAUGCAGGUUCCAUCCCUGGCCUCGAUCAGUGGGUUAAGGAUCUGACAUUGCCAUGAGUUGUGGUGUAGGUUGCAGAUGUAGCUCAAAUCUGGCAUUGUUGUCGCUGUGGUGUAGGCCAGCAGCUGCAGCUCCAAUUUGACCCCUAGCCUGGGAACUUCCAUAUGCCA